ACUUGAGUUACAAUUGCACACCCUCUCUUCGAAACUUGAUCUUUAUCUUUCUCCUUCUUCAAACCGUAAACCUAACUCGUUCAGAUAUGGCUCUCUUCAUUGUGCACUCCGCCACCACAGCACUCCGAAUAACAUCGAAGAACCCCAGCACUCCGCGAAGAACGUCGCCGGCGCUCGCAAUGCUUCCCUCGGCAAUCCCUAUUCCGGCACUCCCCCAUCGCUGCUCGCACCUUAAACCCCUGACCCUCCUUCUGAGGUGACUCUCUCUGGCGGUGACUCGCUCGGCGCUCACUGAGUCACUGUCCGUCGCAAAUCCUCCGCCGCCACUCCCUUCGAUCGCUGCAAACCCCUAAUCCCUUCUGCCGCCUCUCCCUUCCGUCGGAGCAUUGGAGAAGGUUUGUUGUUCAGGGCCGCUCCCUUCCGUCGACGCUUCAUUGCUGGUUUUGAGAGCUGGUAUCAGGCAGUUGCUUACAUUGAAGCCUCUGCAUUCAUCUAUCAGGGUCGAAAGGUCACAAGCUAUAUCUUAUGGCUUAAAGUUGACCCAAAAUAAUAACUUUUAAUUUAUUUAUACGAGGAACACCACGACGGCGACAGCAGAAGAGGGAUUACAUCAGUGCUGUGUUGUUCCGUUAAACCCUGGAGCAACGUAGAAGAUGUAUAUGUGUUGUUCCGUUAAACCCUGAAGCAACGUAGAUGUAUAAGUCCGAUUAGACCACUGAUGACCGAAAACAAAAAACUAAAACAACGGCCCAACCCACCUCCUUAAAUCAAAUCCAGUUGGGGAUCUGUAACAUUGGCUUCGUAUUCCAUUAGCCGGCUCCCCAUUCCACUACUAAGGUAAACAAGAUUAUAGAGCUCUGUCAAAUUUGUUCCUGCAACCAUCAUAUUGUCACAUGUCAAUACAUCCUUGCAUCUGUGUACAUAAACGUGUAGGAGAGCUCCGCACAAAGCACAGAUCAGCUAUGUCUAUGGUGGGCCAUCUUAUGUUAAUCCAUGAUAAAUUCUGCUAGCUUCUUUACCCUUACUCUAAAAUUGCUCUAUCUGUCGCUCUCUAUUCCACGUUGUAUUUUCUUUUUUAACCCACCUUCUAUCAUUCAAGCAGCGUAUUUUUGGAAAAAAAAGACUGACCUGUUCCUAAAAAUAAAAUAUUUGACUUGCAGCCAUUACACGCGGUAGAAUUUUCUUGGCAAUGCAAGUCUGAAGUAGCUUUGACAAAUAGUGAAAAAUGAUGUAUUCCCCUUAGAAAUGGAAAAACGAAGAACAAGAAAAAAGGUCAACUUUUUCUCUCUUCUCACUGUCUCCCACGGAAUGAACAUGUUAUUUUUUUUCUUGUUCUUCGUUUUUUCAUUUCUGAGGGGAAUACAUCAUUUUUCACUAUUUGUCAAAGCUAUUUCAGACUUGCAUUGCCAAGAAAACUCUACCGCGUGUAAUGGCUGCAAAUCAAAUAUUUUGUUUUUAGGAACAGGUAAGUCAUUUUUUCUCAAAAAUACGUUUGCUUGAAUGAUAAAAGGUGGGUUAAAGAAGAAAAUAGAACGUGGGAUAGAGAGCGACAGAUAGAACGAUUUUAGAGUAAGGAUAAAGGAGUUAGCAAAGUUUAUCAUGGAUUAACAUAAGAUGGCCCACCAUAGACAUAGCUGAUCUGUACUUUGUGCGGAGCUCUUCUAUACGUUUAUGUAUACAGAUGUAAGGAUGUAUUGAUAUGUGGCAAGAUGAUGGUUACAUGAACAAGUUUGACAGAGCUCUAUAAUCUUGUUUGCCUUAGUAGUGGAAGGGGGAGCCGGCUAAUGGAAUACGAAGCUAGAUCCCCAACUGGAUUUAGGGGGUGGGCUGGGCCGUUGUUUUAGUUUUUUGUUUUCGGUCAUCAGUGGUCUAAUCGGGCUUAUACAUCUUCUACGUUGCUUCAAGGUUUAACGGAACAUAAUGAACAGUUGGAACACGCGUCUUGUUAUGAUGUGCUCCAUUUUUGUUCCUCUGCUCGCACCGUGCCGAAGCGUCUGGUGUGCUCAGGUUGGCGUUCUGAAACCUUUGAUGUGUAUCGUUACAAGGGAGAACCCGCAGCGGAAUCGCAACCAUAUGCAAUUGAAGGGUUCGGCGAACAAUAUGACGAUGAAUUCUGUGAAUUUGGGUCACCUACAAACACAAUGACAUGAAAAUAAGGAAGCCUCAAAGAAUUGGCCGAGGAACAAUUACAGCAAUACAUGAAAAAUUGGGCCAGUCACAGCGAGCAGCAGCGCGGCUGGGAGCGGGGUAGCACAGCAACUUAUUGUGAAUUCGGAGACGUUUGCUGUUUUGUCUGGAGUUCAUAGUUUGGUUGCUUGCAUCUUGAAAAGACUUGGAGGAAAGGAUGAUGGUAUGAGUGGGAACUUUGCUAAUCUCUUCUUCUGAUUACUUUAAACUUCAUAUCUGCAAUUAUUAAUACUGGAGUAGCUGGAUGUUGUACUGGCCUUGCACUAGGCUUUUCAGGUGCGCCACAAGCUCUCUUGCAGAGCUGCCUCUCCUUUAUUAUGAUAGCCGGAAAACAAGUUUGCAACACAAUACACACCCGCCCCUCGUACUCCCCCUUCAGUUCCCUCUUCCAGGUGCUUUUUCCUUUUUCAAGAAGCGCAACAAGGGAGCUCAUGGUACUUGGCAAUAAGAAAUCAGGCUAUCAUACUUAACAUAUUACUUAACCGAGUUCUAAAUAUUGCACUUUAUCUUGUACCUUGUUGGUAGAGUAUGUUGUUGGAGAGCAUAAUAUAUGAUGAAUGAUUCAGCUGUGAUUCAUGCAUGUGGCAUAUCGAAACAAAUGAGUGUAACAACUCAAUUAAAUUUAUACAUUUAGUUAAACUCUUGCUUCUAACUAUAAACUCAUCUUUGCCAAGUGAUUAUAUCUAAUAAAGUCUUUUAGUGUUGCAGGUGGCUACCCUAUCCUAAGCAUCGAAUUCAUAUAUUACAAGAAGCCAAAUGGUAAAAGUGUAAUAAAAAUGCACCACCCCGAAAUUGUUGUCUCAUAUAUGGGAUCACGACAAAUUAUAUAUAUUUGAUAGGGCAAAUAAAAAAAAUGUUGAAUUUGGAUAAAAAAUUAAAAAUAAACGCCACUUCUUCGAUGUUAAACUAAAUAUGCUUAGUUGGCUAAUCAUAGGUUGUUUUCACUCGAUCUUUCAGAAAAUUGCCGAUCAAUACAGGAAUUUACAUACGCUGUAUAUUUGUAGGAGCCUACAGUUUCGGGAUUAAUCAAGCAUUUCCUCCUACAACCUCUAUUUUAUUUAUUAUUGU